rnacentral:rRNA from 1 species
UACGUAGGCAGCAAGCGUUGUUCGGAGUUACUGGGCGUAAAGGGUGCGUAGGCGGGUCUUUAAGUCAGGGGUGAAAUCCUGGAGCUCAACUCCAGAACUGCCUUUGAUACUGAGGAUCUUGAGUUCGGGAGAGGUGAGUGGAACUGCGAGUGUAGAGGUGAAAUUCGUAGAUAUUCGCAAGAACACCAGUGGCGAAGGCGGCUCACUGGCCCGAUACUGACGCUGAGGCACGAAAGCGUGGGGAGCAAACAGGGAUUAAGAAACCCGG